UACAGAGGUCUCAAGCGUUGUUCGGAUUCAUUGGGCGUAAAGGGUGCGUAGGCGGCGCGGUAAGUCGGGUGUGAAAUCUCGGGGCUUAACUCCGAAACUGCAUUCGAUACUGCCGUGCUUGAGGACUGGAGAGGAGACUGGAAUUUACGGUGUAGCGGUGAAAUGCGUAGAUAUCGGGAGGAACACCUGAGGCGAAGGCGGGCUACUGGGCUGAUACUGACGCUGAGGCGCGAAAGCCAGGGGAGCAAACGGG
rnacentral:rRNA from 1 species